UACGUAGGGUGCGAGCGUUUGUCCGGAAUUAUUGGGCGUAAAGGGCUCGUAGGCGGUUUGUCGCGUCGGGAGUGAAAACCCAGGGCUUAACCCUGGGGCUGGCUUCCGAUACGGGCAGACUAGAGUUCGGUAGGGGAGACUGGAAUUCCUGGGUGUAGCGGUGAAAUGCGCAGAUAUCAGGAGGAACACCGGUGGCGAAGGCGGGUCUCUGGGCCGAUACUGACGCUGGAGGAGCGAAAGCGUGGGGAGCGAACAGG
rnacentral:rRNA from 1 species